rnacentral:rRNA from 1 species
UACGGGGGGGGCAAGCGUUGUUCGGGAUUACUGGGGGUAAAGGGCUUGUAGGUGGCCAACUAAGUCAGACGUGAAAUCCCUCGGCUUAACCGGGGAACUGCGUCUGAUACUGGAUGGCUUGAGUUCGGGAGAGGGAUGCGGAAUUCCAGGUGUAGCGGUGAAAUGCGUAGAUAUCUGGAGGAACACCGGUGGCGAAGGCGGCAUCCUGGACCGACACUGACACUGAGGAGCGAAAGCCAGGGGAGCAAACGGG